rnacentral:rRNA from 2 species
AACUGCGACCCCAGGU